GACAGAGGGUGCAAACGUUGUUCGGAAUUACUGGGCGUAAAGCGCGUGUAGGCUGCUUGGCAAGUCGGAUGUGAAAUCCCCAGGCUUAACCUGGGAACUGCAUCCGAUACUGGAUGGCUUGAAUCCGGGAGAGGGAUGCAGAAUUCCAGGUGUAGCGGUGAAAUGCGUAGAUAUCUGGAGGAAUACCGGUGGCGAAGGCGGCAUCCUGGACCGGCAUUGACGCUGAUGAGCGAAAGCUAGGGGAGCAAACGGG
rnacentral:rRNA from 1 species